ACGCUCGACACCUGCGGGGGGCAGCAGUGGGGAAUAUUGCACAAUGGGGGAAACCCUGAUGCAGCGACGCCGCGUGAAGGAAGAAGUAUCUCGGUAUGUAAACUUCUAUCAGCAGGGAAGAAAAUGACGGUACCUGACUAAGAAGCCCCGGCUAACUACGUGCAGCACGCCGACGGUUAAUCUGGAGGCGGGCUGGACGAAGGC
rnacentral:rRNA from 1 species